rnacentral:rRNA from 1 species
GCCUACGGGGCGCAGCAGUGAGGAAUAUUGGUCAAUGGCCGGGAGGCUGAACCAGCCAAGUCGCGUGAGGGAAGACGGCCCUACGGGUUGUAAACCUCUUUUGUCAGGGAGCAAGGUGCAGGUCGGGACCUGCUGUGAGAGUACCUGAAGAAAAAGCAUCGGCUAACUCCGUGCCAGCAGCCGCGGUAAUACGGAGGAUGCGAGCGUUAUCCGGAUUUAUUGGGCGUAAAGGGCUCGUAGGCGGUUCGUCGCGUCCGGUGUGAAAG